CCCACAGUCGGUGUCCGCUGAGGUGGAGGAUGGUUUGCCUUGUGUUGAUUCCGCUGUCCUUCAAGGCCGCCUCAACAACUCGGAGUCCCUGAGGAAUCUACACGUCCUCUUGGGGCAUUUAGCAGAGUCAGAACAGGCAGAUUUGUGUCAGGUAAUAAAAUCUUUCCCGGGCUUGUUCAGUGACACACACAGACGCACUUGAUUGAGUACGACAUCGAUGUCGGAGAUGCGCAGCCAAUCAGGCAAAGAUUCAAUAGGGUGAACCCCGAAAAACGUAAGUACAUGGAUGCUGAAAUAAAAUAUAUGCUUGAAAACGGAAUAGCUGAACCCUCCUCUUCAAGUUGGGCAUCACCAUGUCUUUUGUUGCCAAAAUCAGAUAACACGCUCAGGUUUUGUUCUGAUUUUAGAAAGUUGAACGCUGUUACAAAGCCGGACUCCUUCCCUCUUCCCCGUAUGGAGGACUGUGUCGAUCAGGUGGGCCAUGCCAAAUAUGUGAGCAAGUUUGACCUUUUGAAAGGUUAUUGGCAAGUCCCUUUGUCCAAGCGUGCGCGUGAGUUAACGGCAUUUAUAACUCCGACCGGUUUGUUUUCAUAUAGGGUAAUGCCUUUUGGGCUUCGUAAUGCCCCUUCGACCUUCCAAAGGCUUAUGACGAGAGUCUUGGGAGAUUUGGAAGGCUGCACAGUCUACCUGGAUGAUGUUGUGGUUGUUUCUGACACGUGGUCUUCGCAUGUUGAGCGAAUUGACAAGUUGUUUAGUCGUUUGGCUGAGGCACGUCUCACAGUCAACCUCGCCAAAUGCAAGUUCGCAAAAGCGACAGUGACUUAUCUUGGUCGAGUUGUGGGGCAGGGUACGGUACGUCCCGUUGAAGAAAAAAUAAAAGCAGUGGCAAGUUAUCCGGUACCCUCGACUAAAAAAGAGCUUAUGCAUUUUUUAGGUCUUGUAGGUUAUUACCAAUGUUUCUGCAGAAACUUCUCGGAGGUAGUUGCUCCAUUAACAGACUUGUUAAAGGCAAGCGCGGUCUUUGUGUGGUCGCCCGCGUGUCAACUGGCGUUUGACAGAGCAAAGUCAGUUUUGUGUAAUGCGCCUAUCCUUUCUGCCCCCACGUUUGACCGUCCCUUUGCGCUUCAGGUUGACACGAGUCACGUGGGGGUGGGGGCGGUGUUAUUACAGAAGGAUGAUUUUGGGAUUGAGAAGCCAGUGAGUUUCUUCUCAAAAAAGUGUAACUCCUACCAACUCAAUUACUCGACCAUUGAAAAGGAAGCCUUGGCCUUAGUGUGGGCUCUGAAACAUUAUGAUGUGUAUCUGGGGUCCGGGAUGGUGCCUAUCGUGGUUUAUACUGAUCAUAAUCCGUUUGUUUUUUUAAAUACGUUACAGAGUCCAAAUCAAAGAUUAGUCCGGUGGUCACUUUAUCUCCAGUCACACUGGCUGGACAUUAGACACAUCAAGGGUUCUGACAAUGUGGUGGCAGACGCCUUGUCCAGAGCACCUGUGUAGUGUUGUAGCCGUGUGAGUUACCCAUGUUUUUUUUUGUACUCUUUCUUCAACUUGUUUCUCUCUCUUCCCCCUCUUAAAUUGCUCCCAGGUACCAGGUUGCUGAGGUGGGAGGGGUGUCAUGCAGGUGAGGAUGGGGAUAUAAAUAAUGAGCAUUAGGUAAGUUUUUCUCAAGAGAGUAAAAUGAUAUUGUGAGCCUGGGUAAGUUUUGUAAGGUAAUGGUAAUAUUAUUAUAUUGACAAUGGAAAAAAAAUGUAGGUUAAGUAAAAUGCCAUGACAUAGUAUUGAUAAUGAAAAGAAAAAAAAUGUUUUUCUCUUGUUUUGUAUUGGACUAGUAAGUUACAAGUGAACCUUGUUUUCAGAGAGCAUUGUUUAUGGUUCCGGGGAUGGGAGCCCUGUUUUUAUGGAGGGGGGUGUGACGGCCUCCUGCCUGUGACGGCCUCCAGGGUUUGCUGUUGUGUUCUUUUUUCUUUUCUCUCUCCCUGGCAGGUUGGUGAGUGGGCUUAGCCACACCUGCGUGGAUCUGGCCAUUCCACCAGGUGUUAAAAGCCCUCAUUAAGGACCAGUGUCUCUCUCUCCCUCCUCCACUGCGCACCA